rnacentral:misc_RNA from 1 species
AAGUCGUAACAAGGUUUCCGUAGGUGAACCUGCGGAAAGAUCAUUAACACGUAUCCAAACGUUAAAACCCCACCCCCGUGAACCUUCUUGUAACCCGCGUAGUUCGCAAUCUCUGAUAAAUCAUAGCCCGGAAAGUUGUAGUGAUUCAGAGACCUCUGGCUACGUGCGAACAUUGGAACAGUUACAAUCGAGCGUUAGUUCUAUAGGCAAUGUUUCCCCAAGCAAUCAGUGUCGGAAAGUGUCAUUGAUUGUGCAAGGAUAGCGCUUCUACGAUUCCUGUAGACCGUACACUCGAAUAACCCCACAGUUUAAUGUGAAAGCUCAAUGUAAUACAUUGGGUAAAAAAACCGAACAUCUGUGAACAAUGGAUAUCUUGGUUCUC